rnacentral:rRNA from 1 species
UCAAAUUUGAAAUCUGGCCUCGGCCCGAGUUGUAAUUUGCAGAGGAUGCUUUUGGUGCGGUGCCUUCCGAGUUCCCUGGAACGGGACGCCACAGAGGGUGAGAGCCCCGUAUGGUCGGACACCAAUCCUGUGUAAAGCUCCUUCGACGAGUCGAGUAGUUUGGGAAUGCUGCUCUAAAUGGGAGGUAAAUCUCUUCUAAAGCUAAAUACCGGCCAGAGACCGAUAGCGCACAAGUAGAGUGAUCGAAAGAUGAAAAGCACCUUGAAAAGGGGGUUAAACAGUACGUGAAAUUGUUGAAAGGGAAGCACUUGUGACCAGACUUGGGCCGGGCGGCUCAUCAGGGGUUCUCCCCUGUGCAUUCCGCCCGGUACAGGCCAGCAUCGGUUCUUACCGGGGGAUAAGAACGGCAGGAACGUGGCUCCCUCUCGGGGGAGUGUUAUAGCCUGCCGUACGAUACCCUGGCGGGGACCGAGGUUCGCGCUUCCGCAAGGAUGCUGGCGUAAUGGUUACUAGUGACCCGUCUUGAAACACGGACCAAGGAGUCGUCCAUUAGAGCGAGCGUUUGGGUGUAAAACCCGCACGCGUAAUGAAAGUGAAAUUAGGUGAGAGCUUCGGCGCAUCAUCGACCGAUCCUGAUGUUCUCGGAUGGAUUUGAGUAAGAGUUUUAACGGACGGACCCGAAAGACAGUGAACUAUGCUUGUAUAGGGUGAAGCCAGAGGAAACUCUGGUGGAGGCUCGCAGCGGUUCUG